rnacentral:rRNA from 1 species
CCUACGGGAGGCAGCAGUGGGGAAUAUUGGGCAAUGGGCGCAAGCCUGACCCAGCAACGCCGCGUGAAGGCAGAAGGCUUUCGGGUUGUAAACUUCUUUUGUCAGGGAAGAGUAGAAGACGGUACCUGACGAAUAAGCCACGGCUAACUACGUGCCAGCAGCCGCGGUAAUACGUAGGUGGCAAGCGUUGUCCGGAUUUACUGGGUGUAAAGGGCGUGUAGCCGGGUUGACAAGUCAGAUGUGAAAUCCUGCGGCUUAACCGCAGAACUGCAUUUGAAACUGUUGAUCUUGAGUACUGGAGAGGCAGACGGAAUUCCUAGUGUAGCGGUGAAAUGCGUAGAUAUUAGGAGGAACACCAGUGGCGAAGGCGACUUUCUGGACAGUAACUGACGUUGAGGCACGAAAGUGUGGGGAGCAAACAGGAUUAGAUACCCCAGUAGUC